AUUCCAGCUCGGCUAGCAUAUAUCAAUGUUGCUGCGGUUAAAAAGCUCGUAGUUGGAUCUGGCGUUUAGCUGCUGGUGCACCCAGUCGGGUGUUACUAGUCGGCGACGCAUUUUUCGUCAGUUGGCUGGCGGUGUCAUUAAUUUGGUGCCGUUAGUUGCUGACAAGUUUACUUUGAACAAAUCAGAGUGCUCAAAACAGGCGUGUGCCUGCAUGAUUUUGCAUGGAAUAAUAGAAUAGGACUGGCGGUUCUAUUUUGUUGGUUCUCGGAACCUCGGUAAUGAUUAAAAGGAACAGACGGAGGCAUUCGUACUGCGACGUUAGAGGUGAAAUUCUUGGAUCGUCGCAAGACGAACUACUGCGAAGGCAUUUGUCAAGAAUGUUUUCAUUA
rnacentral:rRNA from 1 species